GUGUGUGUUCAGAAAUGGGAGGAAGCAGAAGGAGACCCAAGAUGUUUAAAAAGAGACACAAACUAAAUUCUGUCCUUGGCAAGAAACCAAAGAAUGAGUGUUCCUUUAGUCGAAAAGGAACUAUCAUCACCAUUGACUGAGAGGUGGGGUAUCGUUUAAGGGAAUAGAGUGAGUGCUAUAGAACAGAGUAAGCAUAAAAGUAUAACAAAGGACAGGGGAAGGUACAAAGUGUAGAAGCAAUUCCCACAUCUGGUUCUGGGAAGGAGAAAAUCCAGCAAGUAGGGAACAAACAUAGUUGUAAGUACAGAAAAUAUAAUUGGAUGGGACUUUUGCUUCCAUCAGUAUGGCAGAUUAGAUAGCCAGGGUUCAGAAUGAACCAUUAAAAACAAAGAAAAAAAAAGAAGAAAAGAAGGGGAUAACCAAGAAACCCCCUGUUACAGAACAUCUAGAUUCAACCGAAAACAUAAGUUAGAGAUCUUGCCUCACUUCAACCUCCACCUCCCGGGUUCAAGCGAUUCUCCUGCCUCAGCCUCCCAAGUAACUGGGACUACAGGCAUGCGCCACCACACCUGGCUAUUUUUUGUAUUUUUAGUAGAGACAGGGUUUCACCAUGUUGGCCAGGCUGGUCUUGUACUCCUGUCCUCAACUGAUCCUCCUACCUCGGCCUCCUAAAGUGCUGGGAUUAUAGGCAUGCAUACAAUGAAAUAUUAUUCACCUUAAAAAAGGAAGGAAAUCUAAGCUGGUCCAAGUGCAGUGAUAUUUCCAACUAACUGGUCACAACCAGUUACAGAUUUCUUUGUUCCUUUUCCCCUCCCAGUGGUUCACUUGACUAGCCUUAAAAAAGAUUUUUUUUAAAAUCCUGCCCUAUGUGAAAACAUAGAUGAACCUUGGGGACGUAAUUCUAAGUGAAAUAAGCCAGUCACAGAAAGACAAGUACUGUGUAAUUCUAUUUACAUGAGUGUCUAAAACAAUGAAACACAUAGAACCCAGGGAGAGAGUAGAGUAGUGGUUUCCAGGAGCUAGGGAAGGGAGAAAUGGGAAGUAGCUAGUCAACAGGUCUAAAGUUUCAGUUAUACAAGAUUACUAAGUUCUGCCAUACAACACCGUGCCUAUCAUUCACAACAUGGUGUUGUACACUUCUAAAUUUGUUAAGAGGGUAGACCUCAUGUUAAGUGUUCUUACCACAAUAAAAUUUUUUUAAAAUGUAAGGGGAUGGAGAAAGCUAUACUAUGUGAACACUAAUCAAAAGAAAGCUGAAGGAUCUGUAUUAAUUUCAGACAAAGCGUACUACAGAGUAAGUAAAAUUAUCAGGGAUAACGAUGGGCAUUACAUAAUGAUAAAGGGGUCAAUUCUCCAAGAAGACGUAACAAUCCUUAGUGUGUAUGCACCUAAAAACACAGUGUCAAGAGGCGGGGCGUGGUGGUUCACGCUGUAAUCCCAGCACUUUGGGAGACCGAGGCGGGCGGAUCACGAGGUCAGGAGAUCGAGACCAUCCUGGCUAACGUGAUGCAACCCUGUCUCUGCUAAAAAUAAAGAAAAAAAUUAGCCAGGCGUGGUGGCGGGCGCCUGUAGUCCCAGCUACUUGGGAGGCUGAGGCAGGAGAAUGGCGUGAACCUAGGAGGCGGAGCUUGCAGUGAGCAGAGUUCGUGCCACUGCACUCCAGCCUGGGCGACAGAGUGAGACUCCGUCUCAAAAAUAAAAAUAAAAACAUAGUGUCAAAAUACAGGAGGCAAAAAUUUAUAGAACUAUAAGGAGAAACAGACAAAUCCACUAUUAUAAUUGAAGACUUUAACACACCUCAAAUAGUCAUUAACAGACCUGGCCGGGCGUGGUGGCUCACGCCCGUCACCCCAGCACUUUGGGAGGCAGAGGCGGGUGGAUCCCUUGAGGUCAGGAGUUCAAGACCAGCCUGGUCAACAUGGUGAAAUCCCAUCUCUAUUAAAAAUACAAAAAAUUAGCCUGGCAUGGUGGUGCACGCCUGUGGUCCCAGCUACUUGGGAGGCUGAGGCAGGAGAAUAGCUUGAACCCAGGAGGUGGAGGUUGCAGUGAGCCGAGAUCAUGCCACUGCACUCCAGCCUGGGUGACAGAGUGAAACUCUGUCUAAAAAAAAAAAAAAGAAAGAAAAAAAGUAUUAACAGGCCCAUUAAGCAGAAAAUCAGCAAGGACAUAGUUGAACUGAAUCAAUCAACUAAGUCUAAUUGACAUCUAUAGAAUACUUCAUGCAACAGAUGAAUACACAUUCUUCUCAAACUAACAUAGAACAUUCACAAGACAAAUCACUUUCUGAAUCACAAAACACACCUUAACAAAUUUGAAAGAAUAGAAGUCAAACGAAGUAUGUUCUUAGGCCACAAUAGAAGUAAACUAGAAAUCAGUGACAGAAAGAUACCUGGAAAACUCCCAAAACACACUUCCAAAUAACACAUGGAUCAGAGAAGUCUCAAGAGAAAUUUAAAAAUGUUUUGAACUAAAUGAAAAUGAAAAUACAACUUGCCAACAUUUGUGGGAUGCAGUGGAAGCAUUGCUUAGAGCAUUGUAUGCAUAUAUUAGAAAAGAAAAAAGAUCUAAAAAUCAAUCAUCUAAGCUUCCACCUUAGGAGACUAGAAAAACAGCAAAUUAAAUCAAAAGUAAGCAGAAGAAAAUAAUGAAAAUUAGAACAGAAAUCAAUGAAAUUCGAAACAGGAACUCAAUAGAGAAAAUCAAUAAAGCCAAAAGCUGGUUUAUCGAAAAGACCAAUAAAAUUAAUAAACUCCUUGCCAGGUUACUAAAAAAGGGGGAGAAAAGAAAAAUUGCCAACAGAAAUGAAAGAGUGGGCAUCACUACAGAUCUCAUGGACAUUAAAAACAUAAUAAAGGCAUAUUAUUAACAACUCAAUGGCCACAAAUUUAGUAACCUAGAUGAAAUGGAGCAAUUUCUUGAUAACGCAAUCAACCAGACUUAUACAAGGAGAAAUAGAUUAUGUGCAUAAGCCUGUACCUAUUAAAGAUACUGAAUCAUUUGUUGGUAAUCACCCAAAAUGGAAAGCACACCAUCACAAAUGGAUUGACUGUAAAAUUCUGCCAAACAUUUAAGGGAGAAGUUAUACCAAUUGUCUGUAAUAUUUUCCAGAAAAUAAAGCAGAGUGAAAACUUUCCAAUUUAUUCUAUGAAGCCAGCAUUAUCCUAACAUCAAAAUCAGACAAAGAAACUAUAAGAAUGGAAAACUAUAGACAAAUAUCUUUUGUGAAUAUAGAUGCCAACAUCCUCAACAAAAUAUUAGCUAAUAAAAUGCAAUAAUCUAUAAAAAGAAUAGACACCAUGACCGAGUGGAAUUUAGUCCAGUUAUGCAAGGCUGGUUCAACACUCAAAAACCAAUUAAUGUGAUUCAUCAUAUCAAUAGGCCAAAGAAGGAAAAUAGUAUAAUCCUAUCAAUAGAUGCAGAAAGAACAUUUCAUACAAUCUAACCCUCAUCCAUGAUAAAAACUUUCACAAACUAGAAAUAGAAAGGAACUUCCUCAACUUAAUAAAGAACAUCUACAGAAACCCGAUAGCUAACAUUAGACUUAAUGGUGAAAAACUGGAUGCUUUCCCUUUAAAACUGGGAACACGACAAGGAUACUCCCUCUCACCCAUUUUAUUCAACAACAUACUGGAAGUUCUAACUAAUGCAAUAAGACAAGAAAGUAAAUAAAAUGUAUAUUGAUU
rnacentral:lncRNA from 10 species